GGUCCUGGUCCAGGUCCUGGUCCUGGUCCUGGUCCAGGUCCUGGUCCUGGUCCUGGUCCAGGUCCUGGUCCUGGUC
ensembl:miRNA